rnacentral:rRNA from 1 species
CAGGAUGUGCUUGCACAUCGCUGACGAGUGGCGGACGGGUGAGUAAUGCUUGGGAACUUGCCUUUGCGAGGGGGAUAACAGUUGGAAACGACUGCUAAUACCGCAUAAUGUCUACGGACCAAACGGGGCUUUUAGCUCCGGCGCAAAGAGAGGCCCAAGUGAGAUUAGCUAGUUGGUGAGGUAAAGGCUCACCAAGGCGACGAUCUCUAGCUGUUCUGAGAGGAAGAUCAGCCACACUGGGACUGAGACACGGCCCAGACUCCUACGGGAGGCAGCAGUGGGGAAUAUUGCACAAUGGGGGAAACCCUGAUGCAGCCAUGCCGCGUGUGUGAAGAAGGCCUUCGGGUUGUAAAGCACUUUCAGUUGUGAGGAAGAGUUGGUAGUUAAUACCUGCCAGCCGUGACGUUAACAACAGAAGAAGCACCGGCUAACUCCGUGCCAGCAGCCGCGGUAAUACGGAGGGUGCGAGCGUUAAUCGGAAUUACUGGGCGUAAAGCGCACGCAGGCGGUUUGUUAAGCUAGAUGUGAAAGCCCCGAGCUCAACUUGGGAUGGUCAUUUAGAACUGGCAGACUAGAGUCUUGGA